rnacentral:rRNA from 1 species
CCCUUCGGGGUGUAAACCCCUGCUAARRRRRGACGAAGGGGGGCCGGGCGAACAGUCCGGUCUCYUKACGGKACUCCCAGAGGAAGCCCCGGCUAACCCCGUGCCAGCAGCCGCGGUAAGACGGGGGGGGCGAGCGUUGCCCGGAAUCACUGGGCUUAAAGGGGGCGUAGGCGGCCGGGUGUGUCGGGUGUGUAAUCCACCGGCUCAACCGGUGGGCUGCAUCCGAAACUGCCCGGCUCGAGGGCGUCAGAGGGGACCGGAACGCCCGGUGUAGCGGUGAAAUGCGUGGAUAUCGGGCGGAACGCCGGUGGGGAAGCCGGGUCCCUGGGGCGCACCUGACGCUGAGGCCCGCAAGCCAGGGGWGYGWWKKGGAUUAGAUACCCCCGUAGUCCUGGCCGUAAACGAUGCCCACCAGGUGUGGGGGAGACUUGUCUCCUCCGUGCCGAAGGGAAACCGAUAAGUGGGCCGCCUGGGGAGUACGCCCGCAAGGGUGAAACUCAAAGGAAUUGGCGGGGGCCCGCACAAGCGGCGGAGCGCGUGGUUUAAUUCGAUGCUAACCGAAGAACCUUACCCGGGCUUGACAUGCCGGUGGUACUCUGUCCGAAAGGGUGGAGGACCCCUCUGGGGAGCCGGCACAGGUGCUGCACGGCUGUCGUCAGCUCGUGCCGUGGGGUGUUGGGUUAAGUCCCGCAACGAGCGCAACCCCUGCYCUUAGUUGCC